GGCAUUGAAUAGAGAUAGUGUAUGUACAAGAACAGCAGAAGCAAUAAUAAUAAAAUCAUAACUAGUAGAAGUAGGACAAACCAUAAUGCAGUCUACAAAGGAUCCAGAAUCCCAAUGCUUCGCCAACACUGAAAAUACUGGCAGUCUGUUUCAUCAAUCUGGAACAAGGUUUUGCAUUCGACCUCAUCAGCUCGCCAUUAGAAACCCCUAAAAAUCCC
rnacentral:lncRNA from 1 species